UCCGGUUUGGCACCGGCAGUCUCCAAUGAGUCCCCGGCAUUACCCGCUGGCAACAUUGGACAGGGGUUGCGCUCGUUGCGCCACUUAAGGCAACACCUCACGGCACGAGCUGACGACAGCCAUGCAGCACCUGUGCAGGCUCCCGAAGGAGCACCGGCUUUCACCGGUUUCACCCUGCAUGUCAAGCCCUGGUAAGGUGGGGAUGACGUAGCUAAGCCUUC
rnacentral:misc_RNA from 1 species